GCCUCAUUUAUUUAUUAAGUGAAGCAAUUAUGCCGCAUUAGAGAGGGGCAGGGAUACCAUACCUGUCUCAGGCUUAUAAAGCUAAAUGGUAUUUGCCUGACUGUAAGUAUGAUAAUACAGGAAACAAUUUCCUUUUCUGACUGACCCUUCCCCUAAAAAGAAUUGCAGGCAACAGGAGCGGUUAAAUACUAGUUAACAGGAUAUUGACUUUCUUUGUUUUAAAAUGACAAAUGAAUUUGAAGCCAGUAAAUGAUCUUGCUUCCAGGUGAUAUCUUUUUUAGACAAGUUAUUCAGCAAGUAGAAACAUAACCUUUAAUAUCACUACAAAGUUAUGAAAAAAAUUACAUGCACAUUUGAGAUCAACCAGGUGGAGAUGAGUAAUUAAUGCUUCAAUCCUUUGAAUUUGAUUGGAGCACCAAAUUAAAAAUAUAGAAGCAGUUGGCUCUGGUGGUUUAUGCAGUAGUCUCAUGGGUCUUCUGUUUCCCUUUCUGGUUUGGUUGCAAGUGAAAGAGAGUUUAGUGGUUUCAUCAUUGUUGUAGUAAAACCAUUGCAUCUUUCUUAAUAUUUUGACCACAUCUUCCUUUUUUACUUAAAUAUUCUACUCAAGCUCAAAUUUUUUGUCACCUUAAGAGUUCUUCUUGGCUAUUCUACCAUCAUGUGAGUCUACCCUUAUUAUAUACUCAUGUUAUUCCUAAUUAUUUGCUUUUUGUCUUCUACCUUUUCCAUUUUAAUUUGUAUAUGAAAAGCAAGCAGUAAUCCAAAGUCCUCUUGAUACUACCUAGAAACCUCAGGUUUUUCAUGUAUGUUGGCCACAGGAGUGAGACAUCAUUCUUUAUUUAUUUGCCCUUGCUAGUUGUUCACACAAGUUAUUAUUGGUUUGUGCCUCUAGAAUUUGACCUGAGGAGUUUUUGGGUUUUGGGUUGUAUUGUUUUGUUUAAAUUCAUUGCCACCAUUGAAAAAUGGGUUUUCACAUUAAAAUCUGGAUGGCACUUCUUAAAAAGAGGAGAAUCUGGAACAUGAGCUAGCAUGCUAGAUAGGACAUAUACAGGAUUCUUACACUGUCUUUUGCUUUGCCCUGCACCACCCAGCAAAUAUCAUUCAUUUCAUUCAUUCAUGUUAUUUGGCCCUUGCAAGCGUUCACAUGCUUAACUCUUACUUUGACUUUACAUUUUGGGAGAUGUUGUGUACAUUAGUAACUUUAAGUUUUUAAGCACCUUCGUUUCCUUCUAAACUACUGUCUUGGUUUGGUGCAGUGUCUCACACCUGUAAUCCCAACACUUUGGGAGCCUGAGGUGGGAAGAAUGCUUGAGCACACGAGUUUAAAACCAGCCUGGGCAACAUGGCAAGACCCCUGUCUCCUUAAAAAAUUUAAAAAUUAGCCAAGUAUGAUGGCAUGCAUCUGUGGUCCCAGCUACUCAGGAGGCUGAAGCAGGAGGAUUGCUUGAGCCCAGGAGGUUGAGUCUGCAGUGAGCUAUGUUUGUACCACUGCACUCCAGUCUGGGCAACAGAGCAAGAUCCUGUCUCAACAAAUAAAAAAUAAACUACUAUCUAAUUUAGUCCCCAACUAGCUCUUUCAUAGACUCUCAGCAAAGUCAAGGGCUAAAGAAUUUGGAAAUAAAAGGCAAAAUUGCCAUUCUUCUUCUAUAAUACAAACGUUCUAAGAUAUAUCCUCCGUCAGGUUCUAGUGUAGCCUGACUUUUUUCUCGUAUAUGAAUGGUUUUCUCUCUGAACUUUACAGGCAGGUGCCCUGAUUAAAAAUACUUCACCUUCCAGCCCCCAAGAAGGUUAAAGCAAUUUUCAUUCCUAGAAAAGUGAAUUAAAAUGUCUUUGGCACCCUUUUCAUACAUAGCACUCACAUAACUCAUAUUCCAGAUUGGCACGGCAAAUUAGCUUCAUCCUCAUAGGUUAGCAGGUUGUUAGGAGGGUUUUCUCAGAAUCUAUUCAGGAGAGUUCCCUUUAGAUCAGAAUUGUCCCCUUUAUUUCACCUCACUCUUAGGUACAGGUGAAGGUUGUCCUAGGAGUAAAUGUUAGUCUUCCCUCUUGAGAAUCAUUGUUUAAGUACUUUUCCCAAAUACAAAUGGAUUCGUUGGUUCAAAAUUAGUCUAUUUCUUUUAUUUCUUUAUCUAGACCCCCUGUACUAUAGCUAGUCUACAAAAUAUUUAUUAUGUUCGUAUUACAGGUUUCUUAUACUGUGGAAUAUGUAUUGGUCAUCUUCAAAGAACACAUCAUUUUGUUGGGGAGAUAAGACUAGUAGUGUGAGGUCUCCUUAAUAGGGAUGCCCUCCCUUGGGUUGCCAGGUCACUAGGCUUUUGAAAGCAGAAGAUUAUGCCAUUUGUUUUGAUUGGAUGAACCAGACGUUUCACUAAACCACAUAAUGUGAAAAAAAUGCAAGUCUUUUUCUAUAGUUUAAAUGUAGACAUCUUGAAAAUGAGUAAGUAAUCUAAUAAAUUAUAAAGACCUUUGAAAUGGUUUUAUUGUUUUAUGAGAAACUAUUGAUUUGUAACUUUGAAUGUAAGUUAUAAAAUAAUGUUACUUAAAUAUGACCAGUUUACAUGAAUGUUUUUAUCUGAUCUGCAGAAAUUCAAGAUUAUUUAAAUAUCAUUCUUUAGAGUGAAAGAAAUGUAAUCAUUCCAUUAACAGUGUUUUCACAGGGUACUACUGUGUAAAUGCAGAAGGGGUGAGCCCUUUGAUAUGGGAGAAGUAAUUGAAAUUCUCGUAAUGAGACUAAGAAGACACCUUCUUCACCUAACUCAGUUAUUCACAGCUAACUUAGUGGUUUGAGGUCACAUGUUUUACUAAACACCUACCUAGUCAUAGGAUAGCUAUUUUUUAAAAAUAUAAUAAGCCAGGACCUAAAGAUAAGAAGUCACUUCUUUUGACCAGAGAAGUGGACAAAAGUUAGUCUAAAGUAGAGAUAAUUACCUCUAGAGCUUUCUGGUCACCAUCACAACUGAUUGAGGCUAAAAGUAAAUAGGAGGACCAGAGAAACUGAGAAAGAAAGGAGGGAAAGAG